rnacentral:rRNA from 1 species
AACGAACGCUGGCGGCAUGCCUAACACAUGCAAGUCGAACGAGACCUUCGGGUCUAGUGGCGCACGGGUGCGUAACGCGUGGGAGUCUGCCCUGGGGUGCGGAAUAACUCGGAGAAAUCCGUGCUAAUACCGCAUAAUGUCUUCGGACCAAGGAUUUAUCGCCCUGGGAUGAGCCCGCGUAGGAUUAGCUAGUUGGUGGGGUAAAGGCCUACCAAGGCGACGAUCCUUAGCUGGUCUGAGAGGAUGAUCAGCCACACUGGGACUGAGACACGGCCCAGACUCCUACGGGAGGCAGCAGUGGGGAAUAUUGGACAAUGGGCGAAAGCCUGAUCCAGCAAUGCCGCGUGAGUGAUGAAGGCCCUAGGGUUGUAAAGCUCUUUUACCCGGGAUGAUAAUGACAGUACCGGGAGAAUAAGCUCCGGCUAACUCCGUGCCAGCAGCCGCCGUAAUAC